GCGGAGGAAAAGGAAUUAACAAAGAUUCCCUUAGUAACGGCGAGUGAAGUGGGAUGUAGCCCAGCACCGAAUCCGCUUGGCCUUGCGCCUUGUGGACCUGUGGUGUUUGGGGCCCCAGCUUUUGUCCAGUGUCCACGCUCCUCAGUCGCAUUGAAGGGCUGUUGCUCCGUAGCGGGUGUCAGACCCUUGUGUCGAGCUGGAUCGGACGAAGGUUCUCGGGGCCUCUCGAGUCGGGUUGUUUGAGAUUGCAGCCCAAAGCCGGUGGUAAGCUCCAUCGAAGGCUAAACAUUGCCACGAGUCCGAUAGCGAACAAGUACCGUGAGGGAACGUUGAAAAGAACUUCGAAGAGAGAGUUCAAUAGUACGUGAAACCGCCUAGAGGGAAACGAGUGGCUCCGCAUUGUCGGCCUGCGGCGUUCAUUUCGAUGUGCAACGUGUGUCCGCGCGUGGUUGUCUUUCGAAUCGGUGGUCUUCGGGCCGUCGAGUUCGUCUGAUUUGACCGCACGUUGCGAUGCUCGCACUCGAGUGCAUUCGCUGCGAGGCAGGGCGUCACGAUCGCUUUCUGGUGUGCAAACGACCAGCAUGCCGGCGCGUUAGAAGGAUGUCUUCGCGGACGUCUGUUCGAACCGCGCGGCGGCUGUCCAGCUUGCCGGAGAGCGUGUAACGAUCACCUUGCACACGAGGGCACAACAGUUUCGAUUGCCAACGUUCUGUUCGGUGUGCCACCUUCGCGGUGGUCGCCAUCAGUUCACGCGGCAGAGAGGCUGGCCCUGCUCGGUUUUGGAUCGGUGGCGAUUGAGUCGGCCUG
rnacentral:rRNA from 1 species